CCAAUUUCCAUCAGCCGAGUCUAAAUUUCAAAUUUGACUUCAAACAUGAUGUCAUAAGCUGAGUUGGCACCGACAACAUGACCCACAAGAAGGGCAAAAUAGACAUUUUCACAAUAAAAAGUAAAAAAAAAAAAAAUUGGGGUACAGUACUUUGAUCCGUUUCAAAAAAGAAGAAGAUCAUCUUCAAUCUCUUCUCCUCUCUGAAACGACCCAAAAUCCCAAAGCCGUCUCCACCUCCGUUCUCCGCCAUUCCCAAUUCUAAAAUACCCGCCGCUAAUCAAAAAGCCUCGAUAUGCUCCUCAUAACCUGGCCCUCAAAAAGGAAUUUCGAAAAAGAAUUGAAGAUGAUCGAGGUGGUGCUGAACGAUCGUCUGGGGAAGAAGGUGUAGGGGAAGGGAAACGAGGAUGACACCAUCGGCUUCGUGGUUGUGGUUGGAUCUAUACAACCUGGAUACUACCCACAGAGAGAAGACAGAGAUGAAACAAGGAGAAAUCAACGUCUAUUGUACUCACUGAUUUUGAUUGCCCUCAACAUUUUUAUGACUAUGGUUAUAUAUGGUUGUCAUCUUCCUCCUCCUCCUUUAAUCGAUCCUCUUCUUCGUCAACUCUAGGUUUAUUGAAAAAGACACCAUCUUUAAGUCAUGAGCACAAAGCAAGGAGCUUCAAUAAAGAUUCAGAGCAAGAAUUCCACUAACAUGUCUCGGCUCAGAGUUUCCUCUAAAGCAAAGGAGUCCCAAACUCCAACUCAAAGACCCUCCAGAGCAAAAUCAGUGACUCCAGAUGUGAGUAGUAGCAGUAAUUCCAGGAGUAUUAGGAGGGCACAAGCCUAAAUAUGGAGAAUUGGUGUUGGGAUCUCAGAAAAGUAAGGAACUUGAGGAUUUUAAAGUUGUGGGUAGUAUUAGAAAUCCCCAAUUUGUUGAGCAAUUUGCUAAGCCCAGAAGGCAGAGGCCUCUUUUGGAGGGAAAUGUGGAUGACCUGCAGGAAAAUUAAGGAAUUACUCUCUUCAGCAUCCACGCCCUCCAUGCCACCGCCGUCGUUUCAGCGAUCCCCUAAGCUCUCCUCCCCAGCCUCCUCUUCUGGUGUGAAGAAAAAGGUUGAGGAUAUUAUGCCAAUUGCCACUAGUCACGAGCGCGAGGAAUUUCAGGUUGAGCUCUAGGCAUAUCAAAAAGAAAAAACGCCGAAGGUGAAGAAGAAAAAGAAAAAGAAAAAGAUUCUGAAGAAUAAGAAAAAUCUGUACCAAGGGGUAGUUUAGACAUUUCAUUCAAUCUGUGGGUCAAAAACUGAA